AGCUUUUACCGGGGUGUAUCGGACGAGCUGAUAGGGCUGGCGCUCCCUCUCAAUGGUCCUUGUGGGAAUGCAAUUGUCAGAGAAGAUGAUCAAAGGGACCAAGGUAAAUGUGGCAUCGUGAGUACCAAUCCAGCAGAUCAAUGAGUCUAUUUGGCUGAACUUGCAGAUGUGCCUUCCAAGCACGGGAGAUAUAAUUGCAAGUUGAUCUCAAAUCUAGUGGAGGAAGUACACCGGUAGUACUUUAAGGCAGAUGGACAGACGACGGACUGGUGGUGUGGCGUUUUACCUCACCAACACUGUUGAGUUCGUCCCAGAUGAGCCACGUCCAACUCCGGAGGCCAGCAACCCCUGUUUGAUUUCCAGCCGGCUCAACACAUGACGAGCUAGAGUAGAAGAGGAAAUCCACCUGUGGUGGUCUGCAUCGUCAUUAGCAGCAACAUGGGGGGAUGCUACAUCAAUAAUUCGAACACUGGCAAACCAGUUCACUAUGAUAAUUUUGAAGCUAGCACUUGGACAUUAAGGAAAACUAGAGAUGACAUAGAGAACGGAAGAGAAUUCACUGCUGGCUGAUUGAUUAUAAAUAGAGUUAUGCAGGGAGCUGGUGAGAUGCCGGUUUACUUUCGUGUUGUCACGCAGUGGUUGCUGGAGUGUCUGUCCUAUAUUUUUUUUUUAUCUAUGAUAUUUGCAGAGAGGGGCUGAUAUUGAUGCUCGAGUAGUCUUCAUACUGGGUCUCAUGGUGGUGAUCAACAACUAGCGCCAUGUCAUGUUCAACGCUGAUGGCAUUUUCAUCUCCUGAUGUCAAGAAGACAUCUCCGAAGUAGUAUUUCGAUGGGCCAAACGUGAGCGUCGUCCAGCCGUGGGAUUCUUGCUCGAUAACAAGUAAAGCAUGCAUAUGUACCUUGUUUUGGUUUGCCACGUUUGAGGUUGUUGCACAAGGUCAUGUUUUUCUUUAGGAUCCUUCAGUGUUAAUCUGCACGCAUCUGCUUUCUUCUUUGCCUAGAUGACGCACAUGCUAAAAUUGAAUAAAGCUCUAUGACAGAUGACAGUCACAUCAACAAUAUGAUUAGAAUACAAUAUUGAUCUGCAAAAAAAGGACUGAUACAGAGGUAGUUACUAUGUUCAUUUCUACGCCUAUUUUCUGAAAUAUUGUUUAUUUGACAAGGCAAUGCACUUCCUAUUACUAUUAGUUCUAAAAAAUUCUUAGGUGCUGAAAAGUGUGGCCACGUUUGCCCAUUCUCAUUAACAAAUGCUCUUAGAAAUUAUGGUACUGAGAAAAUGGUUUUCGGUAUUAAUUUACGCCAUGGCGUGCUUUCCUUUGGUCACAUUUUGGCUUCUUGAUGUCUCAUGGAAACUGUUGGA